GUAGGUGGCAAGCGUUGUCCGGAAUUAUUGGGCGUAAAGCGCGCGCAGGCGGUCCUUUAAGUCUGAUGUGAAAGCCCACGGCUCAACCGUGGAGGGUCAUUGGAAACUGGGGGACUUGAGUACCGAAGAGGAAAGCGGAAUUCCAAGUGUAGCGGUGAAAUGCGUAGAGAUUUGGAGGAACACCAGUGGCGAAGGCGGCUUUCUGGUCUGUAACUGACGCUGAGGCGCGAAAGCGUGGGGAGCAAACAGGAUUAGAUACCCUGGUAGUCCACGCCGUAAACGAUGAGUGCUAAGUGUUAGGGGUUUCCCGCCCCCCUUAGUGCUGCAGCUAACGCAUUAAGCACUCCGCCUGGGGGAGUACGGCCGCAAGGCUG
rnacentral:rRNA from 1 species